GAAAGGUUUAGUCCUGUGUUACAUACAGGACUAAAGUAUAGUCCUGAGUAAAGUGUCUGAAACAAGAAGCAUGUGACCACCUGGGCACAUCAUUUUUCUACCUGAGUGGUACUUGGUGUACUAAAGAGAUUAUGGGAUGCAGCACACUUAGACAAGGUGGAAGAAUCUGAGUGGGUCUCAUCACGUUGGAGUUGGUUUUUAUGGGAUAUGGAAAAGAGGCCCGGAUUUCUUCUGAGAGCAGGAGUAGCUGAGGAGCCCCGUGGCAGCAGAGCUCGUGAACUACACUUGUGUGAGAAGACAGGCUGUGAUUCCUUCCUCUGACGCCUGCUCUUACAAUAGGCGUCCCUGCGAGAAGAGUCACCCAGUGGCAUCAAGAGCUCUGGGCAGGAUCCGUCCACUUCCAGAGUGGCCUGAAGAGUGGAACACAUUUCUUUUUAGUUAAAUGAGUUUCUUCGGAAUACAAACAGAAGCUUGCACGAGUAACCCAGGUCCGCAAGGAACUGAAAUCCCAUAUUCAGAGCUUGCCAGACCUCUCACUGCUGCCCAACGUCACAGGGGGCUUAGCCCCCCUGCCCUCUGCUGGGGACCUGUUUUCAACUGACUAGGAUGGGUGUCAUGUCCCAGAUUUCUGUUUGUACCAGCAGAAAGAAGAGGGCAAGUCAUGGUUGGAAAUAACCUUCUAGCCCCUGGUUCUAUCCCUUCUUCCGCCCAGCCCCCCAGCCUCAAGAAAGAACCUCAGACUCUGAUUCUCCUCUUCAGCCUCUCAUCUUGAGCACAGUUCAGAACAGUGGCGACUGGAAUCUGGUUUAUAUUCAUAUUUGCAAAGACUACAGACUUUUUCUCCCACUUCAUAUUUUCAUGCCCCCCUGUUGGUUUUCCAUUCUUAACUGUCUCCUUAUACCUAAGAAGUUAUGAAAAUCAUGUGUACUUCUGGAAGCUUUCGAAAGAAUCUUGUCCCUCAUGACAGCAUUUUAUCAUGAAAGCAGCUUCUCCUUUCUGGGCUGGGCUUGUUCAAGUUCGGUGUGGGCUUCCACUAAGGCACUUGUCCUGGAGACGUUGGCUUUCCCAGCUGCAUCUGCCCCAAAAGGUUGUAGGCACAGCUGUCGUAGCGUUGCCAUAAAGAGUUUGCCAAAUCUCUGAUCCUCCCUUUCCAUUGCUUCUCCUAGUGAUGCACGAAGAUUAGGUGCAUUUAUUUUGUAAACAGAUUGGAGAAUCUAGCAAUAAGAUUCAAAGCUAAUCUGGAGCAUAAAGGCACAGUUCAGAGACAGAAUAACAGGGAUCACAAGCAUGAAUUAAAAGGAAUUUAUUUGCUUCAAGUUCCUAGAUACAACCUUCCCAUGCUGCACUUCUCCACUGUCGGAGCACGUUCCGAAAAACAGAAUGCCUUGAUCCCUGGUGGGUGCGAAGGCAGUUGUUAGGGAUGGCAGGCAUUGGUGGGCUCCAAAAGAUGAAGGCCCCACACACAGGUGUGCUGCAUUUGGGAUCUGUGUGGGUGUUUCUUGGACCCUUUCUUCUGGGAGUAGGGUACACACUAACGUUUAAUCCGCUGUCUGGGUGCAUGUCCACAGUACGGUGGCUAAACUCGAACAUCACUGCAAAUAGGACGCUGAGCAGGUCCGUCUGUCAUGUCACGCCACUGCACAGGUCCUUGUCCCCACACGACGGGGAGUACUUGCGUCAGAUGUUAUUGAAUAGCUCGUCUCGGGCAGGGGAAGCGGGGAGUUGGGGAUAUUAAUUGGGGGUUUUAAUUCUAUUAUCAUGUCAGCUGACAUUAUGACUAUAUAAUGUAGUUAGAGACAAUUUUUAUCUUGCUUAUAGUAAAGGUUCAGCCUGCCAAUUGUAAAUCAUUCUAAUUUGGCAGGCUUAUUUUUGACAUUGGAAAGGGCAGAAAGCGAUUUGCCCCAGUAGUGUAAUAGGAGUUAUAGACCAGAGGCUGAAACCCAAACUAUAUAAAAAGGAAUUCAGUGGAGGGGGCUUUGUAAUCUCCAUUAAUUUGUGUUGCUACUUCCAGGAUCACCAAAAAUUACAUGUAAUUUUACAUGUUAAACACAUUGAAACAUAACCUAUGUUUAUAAAGCAUAACGGGCUUCCCUUCCAGAAGCUCUCCUGCUUGUCAUGAAGUGAGAACAAUGAAAAGUCAUAGCAGAUACUCAGUUUAACUCUGUGUAGAACCUAGUAGUGUUUGAGCUGUUAUUCAGAUUUGAAUUCAGACUGUGUGUUGUUUGCUUAUGGACACUGCCUGUCGUUCUGUCACUGUUAAAUUAAUGAGUCUAUAAGGUUUUUCUUCCAGAGGCCAUAGGUGACAUCACUAAAAUUGCAAGAUAAAUUGUAAUCUUUGCUGCUGCUGCACUCCCCAACCUCUCCCCCACCCCCCGUGGUGUGCUGCUUUCUAGAUGAGCGUGUUUUGGAGCAGGCCCAUCUGGGACACUCUAUGCUUUCACCAAGGAAGUGCGAUCUGAGCAGCCACAAUCCAGCCAAAAGAGGAUCGUAGAUAUUUGCUCUGAUCAACUAGAUGAAAAUAUAGCAGAAUGGAUUUAGCCCACUGCUCUGUUUUAUCCAACUGAGUCUCUGACCAGCAAUUGGUGCAUAAUUAUUACAGCAAAAGUUAAGAAAUGAAACUGUAGCAAUUAUGUAAAUGAAUGUGUUGGCCUCUUAAUACCUGUUACUAGUGGACUUCCUGUGAGGAAGUUAGUUUUUUGUUUUGAUGAAAUGCUUUCGUUUUUUAAAUCUUAAUUCUGCUGUCCACAUCCUCCCAAAGUGUGCUUACUUCAUUUGUUUAAUUUAAAUGAACUUUCCUCCUUGUAUGUAUGAGGUGACUUGGUGGGUGGGGUGGGUGGUUUUUGUUUUUGUGUUUUUUCUUUCUUAGGGCAUCUGUAGGCCUCAAAGGACCUUUCCUUUAGGUCAUAUUCCUCAGAAAGUCUUCAAUCUUCCCUUGUUUUUGUUUGUUUGUUUUUCUUAAAGAAUAUUUUCAAAGCUUAAAUUUGUAUAUUAAUUUAGGACUAUUUAGAAGUAUAGGCUGUCGUUGGCGGCAGCAGUAUAUUCUGAAAUGUCUCAUAGAUAUAUAUUUUUGAAUAAAGAUGGUGUUGUUGAACAACA
rnacentral:lncRNA from 1 species